UACGUAGGGUGCAAGCGUUGUCCGGAAUUAUUGGGCGUAAAGAGCUCGUAGGCGGUCUGUCGCGUCGGCUGUGAAAACCCGGGGCUCAACCCCGGGCCUGCAGUGGAUACGGGCUGGCUAGAGGCAGGCAGGGGAGAACGGAAUUCCUGGUGUAGCGGUGAAAUGCGCAGAUAUCAGGAGGAACACCGGUGGCGAAGGCGGUUCUCUGGGCAGUAACUGACGCUGAGGAGCGAAAGCGUGGGGAGCGAACAGG
rnacentral:rRNA from 1 species